AAAUGCAUCCAACCAUUUCUCCCUCUCGUUUUCACAACCGAAGCUCAAAUGAAAACGAAAUUCUGACUCAUGCAUGUAUGUUUUCUGUAUGUGGACUUGGGGAUCCGAGUAAGGCCCCGGGGAAUAGGAAAUGCAAGGAGCAAUGGCUCACAAAUGAAGGUGCUGUACACACAGCAAAGAUGGCUGCAAGAACUCGGAUCUACAAAAUGAAAGACCUAAAAUUUCGUCAAUGCUCAUGUAAUUUUCUGUGACAUGGCUUUGAUGAAUGCCCACCUCUGUGUUGCCUGGACCACCCCCAAACUAUAUGUAAAACAAUAUUUUAAUGAAAUAUGAGAGUGAGUGAGCGAAAUAUAAAUGUUGAUGAA